UGCAGAGGUCUCAAGCGUUGUUCGGAUUCAUUGGGCGUAAAGGGUGCGUAGGCGGCGCGGUAAGUCGGGUGUGAAAUUUCGGAGCUUAACUCCGAAACUGCAUUCGAUACUGCCGUGCUCGAGGACUGGAGAGGAGACUGGAAUUUACGGUGUAGCAGUGAAAUGCGUAGAUAUCGUAAGGAAGACCAGUGGCGAAGGCGGGUCUCUGGACAGUUCCUGACGCUGAGGCACGAAGGCCAGGGGAGCAAACGGG
rnacentral:rRNA from 1 species